rfam:Dipodomys ordii contig_15172, whole genome shotgun sequence.
GGUGGCUCAGUGGUAGAGUGCUUGCCUAGCAUGCAUGAAGCCCUGGGUUCGAUUCCUCAGCACCA